AUUGAACGCUGGCGGCAUGCCUUACACAUGCAAGUCGAACGGUACCCUUGCUUCGGAUGCUGACGAGUGUCGAACGGGUGAGUAAUACAUCGGAACGUGCCUAGUAGUGGGGGAUAACUACUCGAAAGAGUGGCUAAUACCGCAUGAGAUCUACGGAUGAAAGCAGGGGAUCGCAAGACCUUGUGCUACUAGAGCGGCCGAUGGCAGAUUAGGUAGUUGGUGGGAUAAAAGCUUACCAAGCCGACGAUCUGUAGCUGGUCUGAGAGGACGAUCAGCCACGCUGGGACUGAGACACGGCCAAGACGCCUACGGGAGGCAGCAGUGGGGAAUUUUGGACAAUGGGCGAAAGCCUGAUCCAGCAAUGCCGCGUGCAGGAUGAAGGCCUUCGGGUUGUAAACUGCUUUUGUACGGAACGAAAAGCCCCGGGUUAAUACCCUGGGGUCAUGACGGUACCGUACCAAUAAGCACCGGCUAACUACGUGCCAGCCGCCGCCGUAA
rnacentral:rRNA from 1 species